UACGUAGGGGGCAAGCGUUGUCCGGAUUUAUUGGGCGUAAAGAGCGUGUAGGCGGCUAGAUAGGUCCGUUGUGAAAACUCGAGGCUCAACCUCGAGACGUCGAUGGAAACCGUAUGACUAGAGUCCGGAAGAGGAGAGUGGAAUUCCUGGUGUAGCGGUGAAAUGCGCAGAUAUCAGGAAGAACACCCGUGGCGAAGGCGGCUCUCUGGGACGGUACUGACGCUGAGACGCGAAAGCGUGGGGAGCGAACAGG
rnacentral:rRNA from 1 species